AUGCGGCUCCGCGCACUACUCAGCCUGGGAGCGCGCUGGGGGCCGUUGGAAUCCGGCAUGGCCCGGACCCCGGCGGCGCUGCUGCUGCCGCUUCUGCUACUCCUAUUGCUGGAGACUCCUGCGCAGGUCUACCAGGACUAUCAGUACUUCGGCCAGCAGGGCGAAGGUGACACCUGGGAGCAGCUGAGGCUGCAGCAUCUAAAGGAAGUCGAGGACUCGAUCCUUGGCCCGUGGGGAAAUUGGCGGUGUCUCUGCGACCAGGGCAAGCAGGAGCGCAGCCGCGAGGUGCUAAGCACAAGGCCGGGUCCGGUUUUCAUGAACCAGGAGAACCUGAUCCAGAUACGGCCCUGCCGGCAACGGGAUUGUCCAUCCUGCAAACCCUUCGACUGCGACUGGAGGCUCUGAGCCCAGGGGGAAGCUGAGUCAGGAGCUGUGAGCCCCGUGGAUAGCUAGGGAGGCGGAGGUGGCCGGAUCGCUUGAGCCCAGGAGUUUGAAGCCAGCCUGAGCAACAUACUGAGACCCUGUCUCUACAAAAAACAGUCGGGCCUGGUGGUGUGUGGUGUGCACCUGUAGUCAAGCUGGGAGACUGAGGUGGGAGGAUCGCUUCAGCCCACGAGGUGGAGGUUGCACUGAACCAAGAUCGCGCCCCAGCACUCCAGCCUGGGCAACAGAGGAAGAUCCUGUCUCAGAAAAACAAAACAGAAAACAAAAGAGACGGAGACAGACGGGGCCCCAGAGACCGUGAAGCAGAGCUUGCAAAGCGACCCAGUCCAACGAAUUCGCCACACUUAAAGCGCUCGGCCAUAACCCUUCAGGACUACAAUUCCCAGGAGGGCGCGCAGCAGCGACGUCGGCGUCGGCUGC